GCUGGGAGAUGAUGUAAACAAAAGGCCGAAUUGUAGCGCCACCGCCAGGCAGUUUGUUCUGAGAGCGCAGCGCUGUGACAAACACCGACCGGAGCGUUAGCUGAUCCCAGA
rnacentral:snoRNA from 1 species